rnacentral:rRNA from 1 species
UACGUAGGGUGCAAGCGUUAAUCGGAAUUACUGGGCGUAAAGCGUGCGCAGGCGGCUUUGCAAGACAGAUGUGAAAUCCCCGGGCUCAACCUGGGAACUGCAUUUGUGACUGCAUGGCUGGAGUGCGGCAGAGGGGGAUGGAAUUCCGCGUGUAGCAGUGAAAUGCGUAGAUAUGCGGAGGACCACCGAUGGCGAAGGCAAUCCCCUGGGCCUGCACUGACGCUCAUGCACGAAAGCGUAGGGAGCAAACAGG